rnacentral:rRNA from 1 species
GACGAACGCUGGCGGCGUGCUCAACACAUGCAAGUCGAACGAUGAACCAGGAGCUUGCUCUUGGGGAUUAGUGGCGAACGGGUGAGUAACACGUGGGCAACCUGCCCCAGACACUGGGAUAACUCCGGGAAACCGGAGCUAAUACCGGAUACGACCACUUCGGGCAUCCGACGGUGGUGGAAAGUUUUUCGGUCUGGGAUGGGCCCGCGGCCUAUCAGCUAGUUGGUGGGGUAAUGGCCUACCAAGGCGACGACGGGUAGCCGGCCUGAGAGGGCGACCGGCCACACUGGAACUGAGACACGGUCCAGACUCCUACGGGAGGCAGCAGUGGGGAAUAUUGCGCAAUGGGCGAAAGCCUGACGCAGCGACGCCGCGUGAGGGACGACGGCCUUCGGGUUGUAAACCUCUUUCAGCAGGGACGAAGCGAAAGUGACUGUACCUGCAGAAGAAGCACCGGCUAACUACGUGCCAGCCGCCGCAGUAA